rnacentral:rRNA from 1 species
UACGUAGGGGGCUAGCGUUGUCCGGAUUUAUUGGGCGUAAAGAGCGUGUAGGCGGCCAGGUAGGUCUGCUGUGAAAACUCGAGGCUCAACCUCGAGACGUCGGCGGAAACCAUCUGGCUAGAGUCCGGAAGAGGAGAGUGGAAUUCCUGGUGUAGCGGUGAAAUGCGCAGAUAUCAGGAAGAACACCCGUGGCGAAGGCAGGUCUCUGGGCCACUACUGACGCUGAGAAGCGAAAGCAUGGGGAGCGAACAGG